UACGUAGGGGGCAAGCGUUGUCCGGAUUUAUUGGGCGUAAAGAGCGUGUAGGCGGCUUUGCAAGUCCGUUGUGAAAACUCGAGGCUCAACCUCGAGACGCCGGUGGAAACUGCAAAGCUAGAGUCCGGAAGAGGAGAGUGGAAUUCCUGGUGUAGCGGUGAAAUGCGUAGAUAUCAGGAGGAACACCGGUGGCGAAGGCGGCCCUCUGGACGGAUACUGACGCUGAGGCGCGAAAGCGUGGGGAUCAAACAGG
rnacentral:rRNA from 1 species